UUGUCGUUAUUUUUGUAUCAUCACACUUCUGACAUCACCUUUUGCCUUGCAAUUCUUUUUUACCUUUUCAACUCACCACCAUAAAGGUGUGGUGGGCAUGUCUCAUGUGGGUGAUUACCUCUAAUGGCUGAUCAGUUGGACUUCGCACACAUUAGUCAUUGGUGCUGCCUGCCCUGUUAUGAGCCAGGGAGCACCCAUCUUUUCAGACUUGGCUUGUGCUUUGUAAUUGUAUUGAUUUUUAGUUUGGGAUAUUGUGAUUCAUAAUUUGUUAUUGUAUUCCCAUUAGGAAAAUAGGUGAUGGCGGGAUUUGUAUCCACUGGCUAGAGUCUAGUUGUUAUGAGAUCUGUUUGUACUUGUAUCUCUGCUCAUUGACCCAAAAAAAGAAAAAGAAUAUAAAACCUCUAAUCCCAAAUUAGUUGGAGUUCGCUAUAUGGAACAAUUUCCUCCAAUCCACCUGGUUUAGUUGCUGCAUCAAAAAAAUCCAAGGCUGCUAAGUCCUUUGUCACUACUUCCCAAUAUGUCAUCUUAGGUUUGCCUCUCUUUUACAUAUUUCCUUCCACAUCAAUGUGCUCAACCUUUUGUAUUGGAGCAUUUGCUGGUCUAUGAUGCAUGUGUCCAAACCAUCUCAAUCUCUCUUCU
rnacentral:misc_RNA from 1 species